CAAUUAAAAUAUCAAGAGCUAAUUUAUCAUUUUUUGUCCAUAUUACUUUUUUAAAAAUAUUAUUUAUCUUUUUAGAACUUAGAUAACUAAUAAUAAUUAAUUUGGGGAGAUAUUUAGUAAAAAGUGACAUAACAAAGUUACUAGGGGGUUUGGGCCACAGGUGACAAAAGAGUUUUAAAAUGAGGUGUAGGUGACACAAGUCUUAAUUAUUAGUUGGAGG
rnacentral:lncRNA from 1 species